rnacentral:rRNA from 1 species
UAUCUUAGUGGCGGACGGGUGAGUAACGCGUGGGUAACCUGCCUUAUACAGGGGGAUAACACUUAGAAAUAGGUGCUAAUACCGCAUAAGCGCACGGGGCUGCAUGGCCCAGUGUGAAAAACUCCGGUGGUAUAAGAUGGACCCGCGUCUGAUUAGCUUGUUGGCGGGGUAACGGCCCACCAAGGCGACGAUCAGUAGCCGGCCCGAGAGGGUGGACGGCCACAUUGGGACUGAGACACGGCCCAAACUCCUACGGAAGGCAGCAG